rnacentral:rRNA from 1 species
CAUGUCCUUUAGAAAAUAGUUAAAGGUCUGAUCUGCUCAAUGAUAAUUAAAUAGCCGCAGUAUUUUGACUGUGCAAAGGUAGCAUAAUAAUUAGUUUCUUGAUUAGAAGCUAGAAUGAACGAUUGGACAAGAAAAUUUCUGUCUCUUUAUUAAUUUUUUUGAAUUUUAUUUUUAAGUGAAAAAGCUUAAAUUUUUAUAAAAGACGAGAAGACCCUAUAGAGUUUUAUAUACUUUAAUAAUUAAUAUAUAGAAUAUUUGUUUAUUAUGGUUUAUUUGGUUGGGGUGACUUAAAGAUUUAUUUAAUUCUUUAAUACUAAAAUUAGUGAUUUCUAAAUUUUUAAUCUAUAUAUUAUAAAAAUAAAAUAAAUUACCUUAGGGAUAACAGCGUAAUUUUUCUUAAGAGUUCUUAUUUAAAGAAAAGUUUGCGACCUCGAUGUUGGAUUAAAAUUUAUUUUUGGUGUAGCUGCUGAAAAAUUAGGUCUGUUCGACCUUUAAAAUUUUACAUGAUCUGAGUUUAAACCGGUGUGAGCCAGGUUGGAUUCUAUCUUUAGAUAGUUAAAGUAUUUUAGUACGAAAGGACCAGGUACUUAUUAAAUUAAUU